rnacentral:misc_RNA from 1 species
AAGUCUCAAUUCCCUUUGAUUUGUUUUGAAGGGGACUUGGAUUGUGGGGGCUUGCUGGCGACCUUUUGGCCGUCGGCUCCCCUGAAAUGCAUUGGCCGUGUACUGACGUGCAUGAAUGGCUUUUUGGCGUGAUAAUGAUCGCCGUGGUCUGAAGUGCUUUAAAUGUCUGGUGCAUGCCUAUAGCCGUCGACUAGCGCGACAACUCUUGAAC